UAGGGAAUCUUCCACAAUGGGCGAAAGCCUGAUGGAGCAAUGCCGCGUGUGUGAUGAAGGGUUUCGGCUCGUAAAACACUGUUGUAAGAGAAGAAUGACAUUGAGAGUAACUGUUCAAUGUGUGACGGUAUCUUACCAGAAAGGAACGGCUAAAUACGUGCCAA
rnacentral:rRNA from 1 species